UACGGGGGGGGCAAGCGUUGUUCGGAAUUACUGGGCGUAAAGGGCCAGUAGGCGGCCAACUAAGUCCGACGUGAAAUCCCAAGGCUUAACCUUGGAACUGCGUCGGAUACUGGAUGGCUUGAAUUCGGGAGAGGGAUGCAGAAUUCCAGGUGGAGCGGUGAAAUGCGUAGAUAUCUGGAGGAAUACCGGUGGCGAAGGCGGCAUCCUGGACCGGCAUUGACGCUGAUGAGCGAAAGCUAGGGGAGCAAACGGG
rnacentral:rRNA from 1 species